GGUUUAACCGCAUGACUGCCGGUUGUGGGAUGCCUCGAGACACCUUUUUGUACGCUCUCUAUUCUAUGGUCUCACCACUGACUCUCAUUAAGCCACUAUUUUCAGUUCUUUAACCCUUCAGCUUUCAACUUUCAACAGCUUUCUUCUUAAAUCUGCACACACUAUCCCUUUUCUGAUGACACCCUAAUUUGAUCCAAACGACCCAAUUGUAAAUUCCCAAUCUUCUUAGCUGCAACUGAUACCCAAAGAAGCUGAUAGAUAUCUGAAGCGUGAGUACUUAUGGAGUUGUAUUCAAAGCCAUAGAUAAUCUGUUUUUUUCACCCCUUACAUGUCAACGCAAUUAUGCGAAUUCCUUUUUUAGUUCCUGAAUUUGAUUUGAUUUAGGGAGUUUGUUUCAUAAAUUUGCUUUAAUAAUCUUUACUUCCCAUAGUUAUUUAUGAAGAAUGAUAUUGAGAUGGGUAACCCUUCCUUAGUUAGUUAGUUUGAGGGAGUUAGUUAGAGAGUGAGAGAGCUCAUGUUACAAAUAAGGUAGGGUUAGAGACAGAGGAUUAGGAUCAGUUAAGAUCUGUUCUUAAAACAGUGUAUUGAAAUUGUACUUUACCAAUGCAUGUAGGAACAUAGACUCACAGAUGAUACUACAAUGCAUAGUAUCUACAUUAUCAUGUAUUGAAUUAUCUAAAUAUCAUGUAUUUAAGAUUACAUGCGUACAAUAAUUAGAUAAUUCAAAUGAUAGUAUCUACAUUAUCAUGUAGUAUUAUUUUGUUUAGAUCUUCAUUUGUUUUUCUGGGACAUGUGCGAUAAUUUUUUAAAGAAGCCAUAAGAAGGGAUCUUACCUUAAAUAUUGUCAUUGAAAAUUUAAUUUUAUUUAGCCUAAUGGUCUUAGUAGAUUUAUGACGGUGAUCUCACCAAGUUGGAUGAUUUUUUGUUACAAUGAUCAAAUCUUCCUUCAACAGCCAUACUUUGUUGGAAGUUGGAUGCACAAUGAGUAAACAUAAUUACUUGGCAUGGGUGUGAAAUUCAUGAUUUCAAUAGUCAUUUGAUUGGCUACUAGUUCUUCCUUACUAAAUACUAAUUACAAGCCCACUUUAGCAAGAUUUCAUCUCAGACAAAAACAAAAAGUAAUUACAAUGCCCAAAAGUUCUCAGAUGCAAAAUCUCUGUAAUUUACUUUCUAAUUCAUGAGUCUUCCUCUCACAAUCUUUAUGCUGGUGCUUGUUCCCUGUUUGGAGCUAUUUGAAACAUUAGUUUUGGCGGCUGGUUUUGUUGUCAGCUUGAUAAAACCAACAGCCAUAAAUUGAUUAAGCAACUUGUUCCAAUUUUUCACAUUGUAACAUGCUGUUACUGAGUGUAGCGGUUGGCGUGAUGAUUGAGCGCUCAACUCUGCCUUGAGCUUUGCUUGCCUAAUAAAGAACAAGAGUUAUAUGAAUGUCAUAACAAGACAGUGUGUAAAUGAUAAUGGAGAACAAAAUUUUCUGAAAUUGCUUACCUCUUCCUCCCAUUUUGUUCUCAUAACGAAGACUGUGUAAAAUAACACUUGCACAACAAAUGCAGAUAUGAUCCCCAACCACAGCCCCUUUUUGACAGAGAAGAACACAGUCAGCACCUGCUAGGAAAAGAAAAAGCUUACAAAGGUAAAUUUCAAGUUUUACCUUGGCCUUCAUGUGUAGAAGAAAUGCUAAUGCAACAGCACAAGGAAC
rnacentral:lncRNA from 1 species